GCGGGUGGCCAGUCUAAGAAGCCUCCAUCAUCAAGCUAGCAGAAAUCCUACCUCUCCUUCUGGCUACAGAGUACUUACCAAGCCCAUGAAAUCGAAUGCAGAUCUUCCUAAUGUGAGAUUUACAUAAAUAUGUCAAAGUCUCAACCUCAUGCUGCCCUCCCCCAUCCUCCUAAAGUUCAAUGGUGCGUGUUCUUCUAAUGGCCGCCUUCCCACUGGAGGUUUUGAUCCACAGCAAUUUAAAAGGAGGACAGAGCAAAACGGACAUCGGCGCAGAGUGAAGAACUGCCCUUGAUAAGGACACUAUGACAGCCAUAUAUAGUAAGUGAAGACUUUCUGUGUAUCUAAAAUUGCAUACAGCACAAGUAACUUACUUUGCAACCAUUAAAAUAGGUUGUAAAGUAAGUUACCAAUACAAAUAGGUGAUGAUGCAUUGUAGUGGUUGGUCUCAGACAAAGAAGGUCAACAGAUUUAUGAAUGCUGGAAGGUAAGGAGAGACGACCAAAAGGGGUGUUAGCAUUACUGUAAUGUGAACUGGAUAGACUUCCCAUCUAGGAAAAAAAAGAGGUAAAAUUAUGCGUAAAAUAUAUCUGUAUUAAUAUCUGUAUCUAUAUAAACAGAAAUAUCUGUUUGCUAAAUGAAGCCAGCUAACAUAAAUCACAUUUUUAUUUUAACUCUGAUAAAAGUAAUAGAACUGUGACUUUUGUUUGUUACAGUGGGGGUAAGGAAGGGGUU